CAUUUUUGAGGAAGGGAAUGAAAGGAAGUGAGGUGAGACUGAGAGAGAGAGGAUCUUACAGGCCAACGAAAACUUUAAAGGCAUCGUACAAACCCCAUUGUGCUCCAGUCAACGUCCCUAUCAUCACAAUCCUAAGAGGAAGUCCUCUUGUGAACAGUCCCAAGAGCCCUAUCUUCUUCACCGCCUGCAACAACAUUUCAUUACAUCAAAACUUCAAUUUUCUCGCAAUUGUGUUAAACAUAGACUUACAUCUCCAACGGUUGCUCCCUUAGCAUUGUUGAGGAACGAAACUAGGUUAUCAGCAGGGUGAGAGACGAUUGCACAAAACACUCCAGCAACAUAUCCUCCAGCGAAACUCACACCAAGUUGAAGACCUUUGCUGCACUCGUGUUUCGGGUUGGGGAUUGCGUACUUGUAGAUCAUCUCAACAA